GAUGAACGCUAGCGGCAGGCCUAAACACAUGCAAGUCGAGGGGCAUCGCGGUGCAGCAAUGCACUGGCGGCGACCGGCGUACGGGUGCGUAACGCGUAUGCAACCUGCCCCGCACCGGGGGAUAGCCCGCCGAAAGGCGGAUUAAUACCCCAUGGUCCCGGGGGCCCGCAUGGGCAUCCGGGUAAAGCCUUGGCGGUGCGGGAUGGGCAUGCGUGCCAUUAGCUGGCUGGUGGGGUAACGGCCCACCAGGGCAACGAUGGCUAGGGGGUCUGAGAGGAUGGUCCCCCACACUGGUACUGAGACACGGACCAGACUCCUACGGGAGGCAGCAGUGAGGAAUAUUGGUCAAUGGGCGGAAGCCUGAACCAGCCAUGCCGCGUGCGGGAUGAAGGCCCUACGGGUUGUAAACCGCUUUUCCCCGGGAAGAAUAACCCCGAUGAGUCGGGGGAUGCCGGUACCGGGGGAAUAAGGAUCGGCUAACUCCGUG
rnacentral:rRNA from 1 species